ACCUACGGGGGGCAGCAGUGAGGAAUAUUGGGCAAUGGACGCAAGUCUGACCCAGCAACGCCGCGUGAAGGAAGAAGGCUUUCGGGUUGUAAACUUCUUUUAAGGGGGAAGAGCAGAAGACGGUACCCCUUGAAUAAGCCACGGCUAACUACGUGCCAGCAGCCGCGGUAAUACGUAGGUGGCAAGCGUUAUCCGGAUUUACUGGGUGUAAAGGGCGUGUAGGCGGGAGAGCAAGUCAGACGUGAAAUUCCAGGGCUCAACCCUGGAACUGCGUUUGAAACUGUUCUUCUUGAGUGAUGGAGAGG
rnacentral:rRNA from 1 species